GCCCAGAUAGCUCAGUUGGUAGAGCAGCAGACUUCUAAUCCGAGGGUCCAGGGUUUGAGUCCCUGUUUGGGCA
rfam:Rattus norvegicus chromosome 1, whole genome shotgun sequence.